CCUGCCUUCUUGUUUUAGCCACGUGAGAUGAGUGUGUAUGGAUGUGUAAGUAUGUAUGUGUGUACUCACCCGAGAGUUCCAAAGCGACUUUUUAACAGAAACUACUUAAGUUAAGAAGUGUCGGUCCCAGAGUUUCCCGCGCUGUGGGAAACUGUUCUCACCCAACAGGAUGAGCAGAGGCCAUCUAGGAACCUCUCAGACGGUACCUUUCCCUGUCAUCAAUGUUAGUGCUGACAACUGCAUCCAUCGCCCUUAGACGGGACAGAGUGGGCUACCCAACUGCUUGCUUUGGUUUGGAUUCGAAGACAUAGGCCAGCAAGCCAUUCCCACUUCCCCUGCUCAUUCCAAGUGAAGGGACUCCUGGAGCUGCUUCUGGAUGUGAAAAAGAACCCAGUCUGCCUGGGAGACAAGAUAGAGAUGCUCGGCUUCCUGCAGACCUGGACAGAGGCCUUUGUAGAGGCCCUGAGGGAGAAACAUGUGGAAUGCUGAGCCAGCGAACACCAGAGAUGCUGAAUGAGCCAAAGAGGCUCGGACAGAGCAAAGGCACCCAAGGGGAACUAGAUAGGCAGAUCUGAACUGGAGAGUCAGAGAGGCCUGCUUGUUUCAAAAGAUCGUUCCCUACUAGUGGGUCCUACUUUUCCCGUUGAGUCAUUAGAGUGUCAACUUCUGUCCCAGCACCUUGAGGGUCCACAUGGCACUAAGGGCAUAGGGAAGGGUCCUCCACUUAAUGGUGCUGUAUUUACCUUGCUGCUGGGUACCUGUUAUUUCCUGUCGCUGUUUUUGCUCAUCUUUCCCCUCCCCUCCUCCCCAAAACACACACACACACACACACACACACACACACACACACACACACACACACACACUUAGCCUACCCCAGGGUCUUUCUGGUUAAGGUUGGGCUUUCUUCCUUGCCUCCUUGCCUCUUUCUAGGGCUUUCUCCCUUACCUCCUUGCCUCUCUCUAGGUCCAGGAUAGGUGCAACCCCCUCCAAGCCACAUUCUUCCCAUCUGGCCCACUGUUGCCUACAAGUCUUGGGCCGUGUUCUAAUUCUCCCGCUGUGUUUCCGUAGCAGUUUCAGCGUCUCCAGCUGGCGCUGGCUUCUCGGUGCAUGUAGUUCCCUGCAGGGGCCGAGCCUGCGGGUGUUCAGGCCUCUCCAAAUCCUCAUGCUGCUUGAGCAGCUCAGCGUCUCUGUCUUGCUCCUUGCAGAACCCAGUGUUCCUGCUUACACUCGGAAGCCUCUCCAGGAAUUCCCUGGGGACUAAGGGGGUGAGGGGAUUAGGCUGGUCUAGGGAGGGGCUUACCUGCAUGCCCUCUACAACUUUCCUCCUUUCCAGAGAGAGGCCAGAGGAUAAUGAUUUAUUUCAGGGGAAGGACCAAAGUUGUGUCUGAUUUCAGCAUCAAAGAGUGAUCACAACUUUACUCUGAUUUGGACUGUCCCACCAUAUGUCCUGAGAGAAGUUGUACUUUUCCCAGCUAUGAGUGAAUGAAGGGAUACUGCUUUCAAUCUCUUCAGAAAGACUUAAAUUGGUUUCUCUCAAGGUGAAAUUCUAUGUAGUUUCAAACUGAAAUUGCAGACAGCUUUUGAAACAAUUUCCUACCACCUUUUCUUUUCCUCUCUAUUUUAUAGGCUAUGAUUUUCUUGGAAAUAAAUACGUUUUCACUUUCUCCUUUCUCAGUUCCUCUACUGGGCACUUUCCUUCAGCCUGGGAGUCUCAGCUGCAAAUACACAUUAUAGGGCUUCCUUUUUCCAAGCACUGCAUUAGCAAGACCUAGUAUGAGCACAUUUUUGGAAAGUUCAGUCUCUGAGGUUCAGUUCUGAGGCUCAGAGUUUUCUGGGAACUAUAAAACAGGGCAGAGUAAAUGGCAGAGCCAAGAAGUUCCUGCUCCUCUGUUAAGGUGAUGUGGUGUUAUAUAUCUGAAUCCCAUCCCAGCUUCCACAGUGGGCUAUUUAGCAUUCAUGGAAAUACAUGCUUGUCAUCAGCUGAUAGGGAAACAGAAAAUGGUGAGCCAAAGGAAAUUGCACCUUUUGGAAAAUAACAAUAUUAGACAUUAUUGUCAUUUUUUUCCCUAAAGUCUGUGUCAAGUAAUGUGAAAUUAUUGAAUUAACCUCGAAGCCAGGUAGCGACCACAGAAGAAAUACAGACUUUAGAGGCAAGACUGGGGGAGAUUUCUUGAUUGUGAGGUUAGGCUUUAAAAGACAUCUCAGACCCAAACACUUACAUUGAUUGUAAGUGCUUAUGCACUUCUAAGAAUCUAAAAGGAAGAGAAGGAAUGG